UUCAAAGUGCUAACCCAUACAUUUAAAGCACUAAACAAUUCUAGCCCCUCUUAUAUCUCUUCACUAAGCCAUAGAUAUGCCCCUCCUCGUACCCUCCGCCCUGCCCGUGACCACCUCCUGACCGCUGCUUGCACCUGUACGGCCAACUCGCGCUUGCAGGACCUCUUGCGGGCGGCUCCUCUCCUAUGGAAUAGCUUGCCUACUGCCAUCAGACUCUCCCCUAGUCUUCAAUCAUUUAAGAAGGGCCGUAAAACCCAUCUCUUCAGGAAAGCUUAUGGCCUCCCAGAGUAAUCUCUACCUUACAUACCUGUCUCCUCCUCUCUCCUAUGGGACAGAGCUUUGCUCUCUCCUCCAGCUCUGCUUCACUCCUACUUGAUAUUUCCUGUCCUAAUGUUUCUAAUACCCCACCUCCGUUUGAGCAGGGUCCUCUUCAACCUAUUGUUCCUGUAAGUUUUCUUGUAAUUGUCCUAUUUAUUGUUACAUCCCCCCUCUCAAAAUAUUGUAAAGCGCUACGGAAUCUGUUGGCGCUAUAUAAAUGGCAAUAAUAAUAAUAAUGAUUGACUUGUGCUGCUGGAGGCAUAAGUAAAGAAAGUUAUGCCUCGCCUCCUGUCAUUAAAAAUCAGAUUAUAGGUACACUACGUUAGCAUAGUCUACAAUAGUGUAGCUACCCUCUAUGAUGAUAAUGCCUCGACAGAUCAUGCAUAGAAAAUUGUGUACUGAGCUUAUGAAGAAAAUAGCAUGUUUAUUAUGGGUUUUUAAUGAAAAGUGGUGCCAAUAAGAUAACGUGGUUGCUAUGAACCGACUAGGAAAAAGCUGAUACAUUAACACUUUACAAGGACCCUUUUAAUCACCAGGACUAGGAUCCUUGCAGAUACAUUGUUUUACACUAAAUGCAUGUGCCUCACAAUCUCCAAAUGAAGUCACCAAAUUAAACCUGGACAUUCUGUGUGCACAGGUAUUGUGAUUCCCAAUUGUGAAAUACCACCAUUCCACCUUUGGACAACCCCAUCCAGAUUCCAAAGCACCAUCUCCCUAAUCUUCUCAUUCUCAUUGCAUAACAGUUUUAUAUACAUAUAUGUUAUUCAUACACCUAUAAGAUGCAAACACAAAGCUGGCAUUUUGACCAUGUCACUUCAAUUAUUUUAUGCUGAUUUAUAUCCAGGGACACCUUCACCUAUCUAACUAGCUGACAAAGCAUGCUAUUCAGACUAGAAUGUCAUGUGAUUAUGCUAAAGUAGUGUACCUAUAAUCUUAAUUUUAAUAUGACUGGAGGCGAGUAUUUUUCCUUAAUGGCUAUUAUGACUAUUGUAUAUUCUAGAUAUUCCUACCUACUAAUAACACUACCAAUACUAACUGACAUCUGACUUAUCUGUAUCAUGG